GGCCCUUUAGUUUAGUGGUAGAAUUGUUCACUCGUAAUGAAUAGGCACGGGUUCGAUUCCCGUAGGGGCCU
rnacentral:tRNA from 2 species